rnacentral:misc_RNA from 1 species
GCUUUGCCAUACCAAGAGGUCGAGGUCGAUCAGCCAUCAUCACACACACGCGCACACACUUCUCCUUCAACGUGCGCGGCCAGUGCGACGAACAUCCACACGCACCUGCUGCGUGUUGCAACCCACUCUUCCUUUGCUGCGACACUCCUGCCCUGCCCGCUGCUGCAAACAUGAGCCUUCAGGUGGACCUUCUCAACAACACGUUUGCUAACCCGUUCAUGAACGCGGCUGGCGUGAUGUGCAGCACGACGGAAGACCUGGUGGCCAUGACCGAGUCGGCGAGUGGCUCUCUAGUCUCGAAGAGUUGCACCCCCGCUCUCCGCGAGGGCAAUCCGACUCCGCGCUACCGGGCCCUACCGCUUGGCAGCAUCAACUCGAUGGGCCUGCCAAACAACGGGUUCGACUUCUAUCUGGCCUACGCCGCGGAGCAGCACGACUACGGCAGGAAGCCGCUCUUUCUGUCCAUGUCCGGCUUGUCAGUGAGGGAGAAUGUUGAGAUGUGCAAGCGCCUUGCCGCUGUCGCGACAGAGAAGGGCGUCAUCCUGGAACUGAAUUUGUCCUGCCCCAACGUUCCCGGCAAGCCGCAGGUGGCCUACGACUUCGACGCGAUGCGGCAGUGCUUGACGGCGGUCUCGGAGGUGUACCCGCACUCGUUUGGUGUGAAGAUGCCGCCGUACUUCGACUUUGCCCACUUUGAUGCCGCCGCCGAGAUCCUCAACGAGUUCCCGCAGGUGCAGUUCAUUACCUGCAUCAACAGCAUCGGUAACGGCCUCGUGAUCGACGCGGAGACGGAGUCCGUGGUGAUCAAGCCGAAGCAGGGCUUCGGCGGCCUCGGUGGUCGCUACGUCCUCCCCACGGCGCUGGCGAACGUCAACGCGUUCUACCGCCGUUGCCCCGGCAAGCUCAUCUUUGGCUGCGGUGGCGUGUACACCGGUGAGGACGCCUUCCUGCACGUGCUCGCUGGUGCCUCCAUGGUGCAGGUCGGCACGGCGCUGCACGAGGAGGGACCCGCCAUCUUCGAGCGACUCACGGCGGAGCUGCUGGAUGUGAUGGCGAAGAAGGGCUACCAGACGCUGGACGAGUUUCGCGGCAAGGUCAGGACACUGGAUUGAACGGCCGAGAGCACGAGCUAAAGGAGAGCAACAGGAAGCACUGAAAAACAGCAGUGCGACCCUUUCACAUGCGUACACGCGAGCGGCGGCGGGAGGGCGGAGGUAGACACCACAAGCUCCGGUGGCGUGCACAUGUGCGGCGCGGGCACUCCAUCUGCCGUGGUGUCCCCCCCUCCUCCUCUCAUGCUCCUUUUCCCUGUGUGCCGCCUUUGCUGCUUGCUUGCACAGCCCAUUUCAGCUUCCAGCUCAUGCGCUCGAUACAGACGCGCGUGAACGGGAUGCGUGGAGCGAGGUAGGGCAUCUCGCAGCACCAGCGACCGCAUCGACGAACAACGAUACCGAAGCAGCGGCACUGCUUCGGAUGUGGGAGAGGGCGAGCGAAGUGGGGAUCGGUCUUGCGCUCGGAUGUUUUGGGCUUCGCCGCAUAUCCGGCUCUUGCUUUGAUUAUCAAGAGCCGGCAUCUCAUUCGGCGGGUGCUUGUGUGCGUGUGUGUGUGUGUGAUCUUCUUUUGAUGCUUCAUGUGAGUAGCGCACCCCCCCCCCCCCCCCCCCCCACCCCAGCCCCGCUCCGUGUGCCAAGACGCCAGGGGAUCUCCCCCGUCCCUGCCGAACGCCGCACCACCUCCGGCGGUGACAGGCUCAGGCACCUGCGACGUGGCGAGGUCAGAGCGACGUAUCGCUACAGAUGUCGGCGGUCAGGUCCUGGGCUGCGUGGCGUCGCGGCGGCAUGCGAAGCGGCUGUUGGUGGGUAGAGCUUGGGGCGGGGGCCGUGCUCCCCGACGACCGAGUCGGCGCACUGCUGUACCGUGCGCGUCUACGGCUGCUUCGCACCAGACGACGGGCGCCCGUGGCAGGAGGAGCCGGAGGUGCGUGUGUGUGUGCGUCAGAGGUGGCGGUGUAGGGUGUGGUGUUUGGCCUCGCCUGGUGCACGGCAGACAGACGAACUCGCCCUGAUAAGCAAGCGCGAGAAAAAGUCGAUCAGCGCCGAAGAGGCGGUAAACGUAAACGAAAAGGCGGGAUGCGGUGCAGGCGAGCAUGCGAUCCACGUACGCUGCGGAGCGGGGCACGACUCACGUGUGUGCGCGUGCGUGCAAGCGUCUUCUGCCUCCCUCUCUCAUAUAUGUUUUCUCCUUUUCUUGCAUGGACGAAACGGAAGGCAUCAGCUGCGCUCAG